GAUGAACGCUGGCGGCGUGCUUAACACAUGCAAGUCGAACGAUGAAGCCCAGCUUGCUGGGUGGAUUAGUGGCGAACGGGUGAGUAACACGUGAGUAACCUGCCCUUAACUCUGGGAUAAGCCUGGGAAACUGGGUCUAAUACCGGAUAGGAGCGUCCACCGCAUGGUGGGUGUUGGGAAGAUUUAUCGGUUUUGGAUGGACUCGCGGCCUAUCAGCUUGUUGGUGGGGUAAUGGCUCACCAAGGCGACGACGGGUAGCCGGCCUGAGAGGGUGACCGGCCACACUGGGACUGAGACACGGCCCAGACUCCUACGGGAGGCAGCAGUGGGGAAUAUUGCACAAUGGGCGCAAGCCUGAUGCAGCGACGCCGCGUGAGGGAUGACGGCCUUCGGGUUGUAAACCUCUUUCAGUAGGGAAGAAGCGAAAGUGACGGUACCUGCAGAAGAAGCACCGGCUAACUACGUG
rnacentral:rRNA from 1 species